AUCUUUGCGCUUGGGGAAAUGACGCAGCUAGUGAGGUUAAACUGAGGCGCAUCAAUUGUUGGUUGAAAACUAUUUCCAGCCCCCCUCAUUGGCCUGGGCUACACUUUGGCCUUCGAGAAUUUUUGGAGGGUCUGCCUUUGGC
rnacentral:snRNA from 1 species